UACAGAGGGUGCGAGCGUUGUUCGGAAUUAUUGGGCGUAAAGCGCUUGUAGGCGGCACGUCAAGUUGCGUGUGAAAUCCCCAGGCUUAACCUGGGAAGUGCGCGCGAAACUGACGAGCUUGAGUGCCGGAGAGGGUCGCGGAAUUCCCGGUGUAGAGGUGAAAUUCGUAGAUAUCGGGAGGAACACCAGUGGCGAAGGCGGCGACCUGGACGGACACUGACGCUGAGACGCGAAAGCGUGGGGAGCAAACAGG
rnacentral:rRNA from 1 species